AGGAAUUUGCCAGGUGGCAUUAGGGUGAACAGACUGUGACUGGGGUAGAUAGUAUCUUUGGGCGUUGUGCAGACACCUCACUCUGCUGAUGCUCAGUAGAUGCUGAUUCACUCUUAGUUUGGACAACAAACACCAUGUGAUCUAGAAAAUACAAAUGUUAUGUCAUAAUAUUAGUCUCAUGUUGUUCAAUGAAGGUUCAAUUUGUUAAACAUCUUGUGCGCUUGAUAAUAAUUGCAAACUUAUUUACUGCUGCUUUUAUAGUGGAUCUAACAGGAUGUAGAUAUCUCUUGACUUAAGACUUAAGUUUUCCUGUAUAUUCUUUUGAAGGCUGCAGGAAACGGUCUGUUUCUUUUCUUUGUAAACUGACUCGAUUGCAGCUUUUCUGCACCACCGCCUGGUCUCGUCUGCUUUCUAGGAAAGGCUCCACUCAAAAGGAAACCAUGGCAGCCAGCGGAGAUAAAGGCCGUCGAGAGGCACAUAAAGGCAUUAAUACAUGCUUGCACUGUGCCAAAAAUGUCUAACUAAACAAAAUCUGUAGGUGGCGAAGAAGUUAAAGCUGCGUCACGCUUUGAACUCAACACUUUUUCCAUCUAGUGUCGACUGGGUUUUUGGAUUGUCGGUGCCAUUAAAGUAGCAUUAAUAAUCGUCGUAAUAAUCGUAACGAUUAUUAAUGCUACUUUAACGGCAUAGACAAUCCAAAAACCCAGUCGACACUAGAUGGAAAAAGUGUAUAGAUCAAAACGUGAUGCAGCUUCCCUUUUUUUCUUCGCAACCUACAGACUUUGUUAUGUACGAUUAUUCAAACACGCCAUGUUAUUUAAUAUAGACAUUUUACAGAGGGAACCGGAGCCUCAGAGGUGGAACUUAUUCUUCAGAGGUCUAUGUGACUUCCAUUUAUAUUGUGACUAUUCUGUAUCUUGAUGCCUCUUCCUGGCCAACAAGGAUACACCAGCAGGUUCUAACAUGUAUUAACCACACUCUGAUGGCUCGAGUCUGUGCGUGAUGUGUGUCUAUGCUAAUGUGUGUAUGUGCUGGUAUACUUUUAAAAAUAAAGUAUCAAUGCAUCUAAUUCUC